rnacentral:rRNA from 1 species
AACGAACGCUGGCGGCAUGCCUAACACAUGCAAGUCGAACGAGAUCUUCGGGUCUAGUGGCGCACGGGUGCGUAACGCGUGGGAAUCUGCCCUUUGGUUCGGAAUAACAGUUGGAAACGACUACUAAUACCGGAUGGUGACGAAAGUCCAAAGAUUUAUCGCCAGAGGAUGAGCCCGCGUAGGAUUAGCUAGUUGGUGUGGUAAAGGCGCACCAAGGCGACGAUCCUUAGCUGGUCUGAGAGGAUGAUCAGCCACACUGGGACUGAGACACGGCCCAGACUCCUACGGGAGGCAGCAGUGGGGAAUAUUGGACAAUGGGCGAAAGCUUGAUCCAGCAAUGCCGCGUGAGUGAUGAAGGCCUUAGGGUUGUAAAGCUCUUUUACCCGGGAUGAUAAUGACAGUACCGGGAGAAUAAGCUCCGGCUAACUCCGUGCCAGCCGCCGCAGUAA